rnacentral:rRNA from 1 species
CAGUCGCCACGGUAAAACGAAGGGUGCAAGCGUUAAUCGGAAUUACUGGGCGUAAAGCGUGCGUAGGCGGUUUGUUAAGUCUGUUGUGAAAUCCCCGGGCUCAACCUGGGAAUGGCAAUGGAUACUGGCAAGCUAGAGUGUGUCAGAGGAUGGUGGAAUUCCCGGUGUAGCGGUGAAAUGCGUAGAGAUCGGGAGGAACAUCAGUGGCGAAGGCGGCCAUCUGGGACAACACUGACGCUGAGGCACGAAAGCGUGGGGAGCAAACAGGAUUAGAUACCCCAGUAGUCCCUGUCUCUUAUAC